AGCUUUGCGCAGUGGCAGUAUCGUAGCCAAUGAGGUUUAUCCGAGGCGCGAUUAUUGCUAUAAAUGUAAACUUCUUUUGAGUGUUGGAAACUUCAAAUCAUACUGGAGAGAAGGGUAACUUU
rnacentral:snRNA from 12 species